rnacentral:rRNA from 1 species
UACGGGAGGCAGCUUGAGGAAUAUUGGUCAAUGGUCGGAAGACUGAACCAGCCAAGUAGCGUGCAGGAUGACGGCCCUAUGGGUUGUAAACUGCUUUUAUGCGGGGAUAAAGUGGGGGACGUGUCCCUUUUUGCAGGUACCGCAUGAAUAAGGACCGGCUAAUUCCGUGCCAGCAGCCGCGGUAAU